GGGGAAUAUUGGACAAUGGGCGGGAGCCUGAUCCAGCAAUGCCGCGUGUGUGAAGAGGGCCUGAGGGUUGUAAAGCACUUUUGGUGGGGAGGAAGGGUUUAUUUUUAAUAGAGAUAAGCUUUGACGUUACCUGCAGAAAAAGCACCGGCUAACUCUGUGCCAGCAGCCGCGGUAAUACAGAGGGUGCAAGCGUUAAUCGGAGUGACUGGGCGUAAAGGGCGCGUAGGUGGAUGGAUAAGUGAUGUGUGAAAUAUCUGGGCUUAACCUGGAGGGGUCAUGUCAAACUGUCUGUCUAGAGUAGAGCAGAGGGGAGUAGAAUUUCCGGUGUAGCGGUGAAAUGCGUAGAGAUCGGAAGGAAUACCAGUGGCGAAGGCGUCUUCCUGGGCUCAUACUGACACUGAGGCGCGAAAGCGUGGGGAGCGAAC
rnacentral:rRNA from 1 species